rfam:Cricetulus griseus cell line CHO-K1, whole genome shotgun sequence.
GGAGAGAUGGCUCAGCUGUUAAGAGCAUUGACAGCUCUUCCAAAAGACCUGGGUUCAAUUCCCAGCAUUCCCA